rnacentral:rRNA from 1 species
AUUCCUACGGGAGGCAGCAGUCGAGAAUAUUGCGCAAUGGGCGAAAGCCUGACGCAGCGACAUCGCGUGAAGGAUGAAGAUCUUCGGUUUGUAAAUUUCUUUUCUAUGGGAAAAAUUUUCUGAUUGUACCAUAGGGAUAAGGGAUGACUAAACUCGUGCCAGCAGUAGCGGUAAUACGAGUGUCCCGAGCAUUAUCCGGAUCUACUGGGCGUAAAGAGUUCGUAGGUGGUUCAUUAAGUUUCUCGUUAAAUCUUCAGGGCUUAACCUUGAGGCAGCGGGGAAAACUGGUGAACUAGAGGAUGUUAGAGGCUAAUAGAACACUUGGUGGAGGGGUGAAAUCCGUUGAUAUCAAGUGGAAUACCAAAAGCGAAGGCAAUUAGCUGGGGCAGUCCUGACACUGAGGAACGAAAGCGUGGGGAGAGAAAAGGAUUAGAUACCCUUGUAUUCCACGCCCUAAACGAUGAACACUAGCUAUUGCAAGUGUCGACCCUUGCAGUGGCGAAGCUAACGCGUUAAGUGUUCCGCCUGGGAAGUACGACCGCAAGGUUAAAACUCAAAGGAAUUGACGGAAU